GACGAACGCUGGCGGCGUGCCUAAUACAUGCAAGUUGAGCGCUGAAGGUUGGUACUUGUACCAACUGGAUGAGCAGCGAACGGGUGAGUAACGCGUGGGGAAUCUGCCUUUGAGCGGGGGACAACAUUUGGAAACGAAUGCUAAUACCGCAUAAAAACUUUAAACACAAGUUUUAAGUUUGAAAGAUGCAAUUGCAUCACUCAAAGAUGAUCCCGCGUUGUAUUAGCUAGUUGGUGAGGUAAAGGCUCACCAAGGCGAUGAUACAUAGCCGACCUGAGAGGGUGAUCGGCUACAUUGGGACGGAGACACGGCCCAAACUCCUACGGGAGGCAGCAGUAGGGAAUCUUCGGCAAUGGACGAAAGUCUGACCGAGCAACGCCGCGUGAGUGAAGAAGGUUUUCGGAUCGUAAAACUCUGUUGGUAGAGAAGAACGUUGGUGAGAGUGGAAAGCUCAUCAAGUGACGGUAACUACCCAGAAAGGGACGGCUAACUACGUG
rnacentral:rRNA from 1 species